AGCACAUCUUUAGUUUCCAGUAACUGGCAUUUGGUUAUGGGGUGGCUGUUUUUCUACGUGGACCAAGCAGGGUCCCAGUUCAAGUUUCUGCUGCCUAUCUGAUAAUCUUGAGGUAUUUAUGAAGGACUCCUUUGAAAGUUCUCUACUGAGUUUCCUUAAGGAAUUGGAAUAUAUAUGAGAAAACUGACCCUUGAAAAAUGAAGAAAGAAAAGUGACUUUCUAAGAUUGAACAGCCAAACGAUGAGAGUCCAAUCCCUUUGGACCUGUUUUCUCACCUGUAAAAUAGGUGGGACCAUAUCCUAGGAACAUCCUGUCUUUGGCAAACAGUACAAAAGGAGAAUUUGAUAAACAAACACAUUUAUCUUCAUGAAUACCCAAUCCUACUGGUAUUUACACUCUGGACAUAUACUUCAGUCUGGGGAGAAGAGAAGGACACUGUAGAGAUACUCAAUCUAACAGGAAAGAGAAGUAAAAGUCUUAUAACUUGUAUGAGUUAAUUUUUAUCAAGAGUGAAGAAAUGAUUUAUGUCGGGAGAGGUGGGAGUUUGGUGGGGAGUGAGGAUAUUGCAGCCACGAGAAGCUUGCUCUUGGAUAUAUGCUGUUCUGAUUGGAAAUUGUAUUUUAUCCAUGUAGUAGCCAUCCCUAGUAACUGCUUACCUACUUUAGGACUUUUAGUGAACAGAACCUGAUUAAAAUAUACCCUCCUAUAUAGCCUCAUAUUAUCUUUAUAAUAAAUUGCCAUUGAAAACUACUCAGAAGAUAGUUAAUGUAUUUUUAAAAAUACAUUUUAAAAACAUUUUAAAAAACAUUUAAAAAAACAUUUUAAAAAAGUAUUUGGGAAUCUGGAUGAAGUUUUAGUUUUAAAUGUAAUAUCUUCUGAGAAAAGAUAACUGAUUCUUGGUCAUCGUUUCAGUGAUCUGAAAGAAUCAAUGCUCUUGUAUUCAGCCAACAGGAGGCAAAUUGUGAAUCCAAAUCAUAGACUAUAAAAACAAGCAAGGACCUUAAAAAGUAUCCAGGCUCAAACCCCUGCUUUUAAUGAUAGGAAAGUAGGCUCAGAGAAGAGCAUAAUAUGCAGGAAUAAUUUCACGGAUUGCUGUUGUUUGCUUCUUUUUCAUUUAUUAACCUAUUGAAUACUUGCUGUGUCUCAGCAUUGUUGGCUGACAGAGAUAUAAUCAUAAACAAAACCCCAGAAUAGCACAAAAGCAUGUUCGCAAUGCCUUCCUGACUUCUUCCAGGCUUAUAUUCCCCUCUUCCCCAGGCUCUCAGCCUCACCGAAAACCUCAGACACAUCCUGUUCUUUCCAACCUCUCUUUCUUUGUUCAUGUUGCUGGUCCUUUCGUAAUAGUUGAUUACAAUCGUUAAUACAAGUACAUGGUAGAAAAAUCCCAGAGGUAUAAAAGGACAAAUAAAAUGAAAAUCACAUCUCUGUUUUGUCUGUGUUUCCCAGUCACUCAAUUCCUCUUCCCAGAGAUAACCACUGUUUCUAAUUAUGUAUUGUCA
rnacentral:lncRNA from 1 species